AUGGAGCAUGUCCACAGAGGUGAUAUUGUCUGUGUAAUUAAUUCUAUGUUCACCCUGCCUCUCCCUCUCAAUCCAUCUUCCUUCCUCUCUCUGAUACGGUGUCUCUUUCCUUUGUUCUAUCUCAAUCCAUCUUCUUCUCCCCUUCUCUCUUCCUUUCUGCACUGUCUGACUUAUUCCUCUCUCUCCCUCCCUCUCUACCUCCCUCUCUCUCUACCUCCCCCUACCUCCCCCCCCUCUCUCUCUACACCCCUCCCUCUCUCUCCUAACCUCCGCUCUACUCACCUCUACCUCCCUCUCUCUUACACUCCCCUCUCUCUACCUCCCUCUCUCUCUCUACCCCUCUCUCUCUCUACCUCCCUCUCUCUUACUCUCUCUAACCUCCUCUCUCUCUCUACCUCCCCUCUCUCUCUCUACCUCCCUCUCUCUCCAUACCUCCCUCUCUCUACCUCCCUCCUCUCUCUCGCCUCCUCCUCCUCUCUACUCCUCUCUCUCUCUCUACCUCCCAUCUCUCUCUCUCACCUCCCUCUCUCCUCUCUACCUCCCUCUCUCUCUCUCCACCUCCUCCUUCUCUCCAUACCUCCCUCUCUCUACCUCCCCUCUCUCUCUCUAACCUCCCUCUCUCUCUCUUACCUCCCUCUCCUCUCUCCUCCCUCUCCUCUCUACUCCUCUCUCUCUACCUCCCCCCUCUCUCUCCCCCUCCUCUCUCGCACUCCCCCCUCUCUCUCUCCCCUCCCCCCUCCUCUACCCCCUCUCCUCUCUCUACCCUCCUCUCUCUACCCCCCUCUCACCUCCUCUCCUCUCUACCUCCCUCUCUCUCUCUCUACCUCCCCCUCUCCUCCCUCUCUCCUCUACCUCCUCUCUCUCUCUCACUCUCUCUCUCUCUCCUCCUCGCUCGCUCUCCUCCCUCUCUCUCCCCCCCCCUUCUCCUCCUCUCUCUCUCUACCUAUCCUCUCUCUCUUCUCUCCUCCCUCCUCUCUCUACCUCCCUCUCUCCUCUCUCUCUACCUCCUCUCUUCUCUCUCUACCUCCCUCCCUCUACUUCCUCACCUUCUCUCUUACUCUCCCUCCUCUACCUACCCUCCCUCUUCUCUACUCUCACUCCCUCUCUCUCUCUCACCCUCUCUACUCCCCUCUCUCUCGCUACUCUCAUCCAUCCCUCUCCUCUCUCUCUACCUCCCUCUCUCUCUCAUCUUGCGAGAUGAGGGAGAGAAAGUAG
rnacentral:lncRNA from 1 species